rnacentral:sRNA from 1 species
CUUGGUCAUUUAGAGGAAGUAAAAGUCGUAACAAGGUUUCCGUAGGUGAACCUGCGGAAGGAUCAUUCAUAAUAAGUGUUUUAUGGCACUUUUUUAAAUCCAUAUCCACCUUGUGUGCAAUGUCAGGGUUGGUUUCUCUCUUUUGAGAGAUCAACCCCAAACAUCAACUCUAUCUUAACUCUUUGUCUGAAAAAUAUUAUGAAUAAAACAAUUCAAAAUACAACUUUCAACAACGGAUCUCUUGGCUCUCGCAUCGAUGAAGAGCGCAGCGAAAUGCGAUACGUAAUGUGAAUUGCAGAAUUCAGUGAAUCAUCGAAUCUUUGAACGCAUAUUGCGCUCUUUGGUAUUCCGAAGAGCAUGCUUGUUUGAGUAUCAGUAAACACCUCAAAGCCUUUUUUCUUUUUUGAAGAAAGGCUUUGGACUUGAGCAAUCCCAACACCAAUCUUUUAAAGAGAGGGGGCGGGUUGCUUGAAAUGCAGGUGCAGCUGGACAUUCUCCUGAGCUAAAAGCAUAUUCAUUUAGUCCCGUCAAACGGAUUAUUACUUUUGCUGCAGCUAAUAUAAAGGGAGUUUGACCAUUUUGGCUGACUGAUGCAGGAUUUUCACAAGAGUCUUCAAAACCUCUUGUUAAACUCGAUCUCAAAUCAAGUAAGACUACCCGCUGAACUUAAGCAUAUCAAUAAGCGGAGGAAAAGAAACUAACAAGGAUUCCCCUAGUAACGGCGAGUGAAGCGGGAUGAGCUCAAAUUUAAAAUCUGGCUGGUUUACUAGUCCGAAUUGUAGUUUAUAGAAGCGUUUUCGGUGGCAGCCUGGGUAUAAAUCCUUUGGAAUAGGGUAUCAUAGAGGGUGAGAAUCCCGUCUUUGACUCAGUGCAUGCUACUAUGUGAUACGUUUUCAAAGAGUCGAGUUGUUUGGGAAU